GUCGAGGGGCAUCAUGAAGUAGCAAUACUUUGAUGGCGACCGGCGCACGGGUGAGUAACGCGUAUGCAACCUGCCCUUUACAGGGGGAUAGCCCAUGGAAACGUGGAUUAAUACCCCAUAGUACCAAUGAAAGGCAUCUUUUAUAGGUAAAAUCUGCGGAGGUAAAGGAUGGGCAUGCGUCCUAUUAGUUAGUUGGCGGGGUAACGGCCCACCAAGGCGAUGAUAGGUAGGGGUUCUGAGAGGAAGGUCCCCCACAUUGGAACUGAGACACGGUCCAAACUCCUACGGGAGGCAGCAGUGAGGAAUAUUGGUCAAUGGCCGAGAGGCUGAACCAGCCAAGUCGCGUGAGGGAUGACUGCCCUAUGGGUUGUAAACCUCUUUUAUAAGGGAAGAAUAAUUAUCACGUGUGAUAUGAUGCCUGUACCUUAUGAAUAAGCAUCGGCUAACUCCGUGCCAGCAGCCGCGGUAAUACGGAGGAUGCGAGCGUUAUCCGGAUUUAUUGGGUUUAAAGGGUGCGUAGGCGGCAUGUUAAGUUAGUGGUAAAAUGUCGGAGCUAAACUCCGGAUCGCCAUUAAUACUGUCAUGCUCGAGUACAGACGAGGUAGGCGGAAUAAGUUAAGUAGCGGUGAAAUGCAUAGAUAUAACUUAGAACUCCGAUCGCGAAGGCAGCUUACCAGACUGUAACUGACGCUGAAGCACGAGAGCGUGGGUAGCAAACAGGAUUAGAUACCCUGGUAGUCCACGCCGUANACGAUGCUCACUGUCUCUCAGCGAUANACAGUUGGGGGUUAAGCGAAAGUAUUAAGUGAGCCACCUGGGGAGUAC
rnacentral:rRNA from 1 species